rnacentral:rRNA from 1 species
GUUGGUUUCUCUUGGAAGAUUGGGAAUGGCAAGAGGGUUAGGUUCUGGGAGGAUCAUUGGUUUGGCAAUGGCACUCUAGCUACCCUGUAUUGGGACCUUUAUGUUCUAGCCAAUGAACAAAAUCCCACCAUUGAUAAAAUAUGGGAUGGCCAUACCCUCAAGCUAACUUUCUAG